AGGCUGCAACUCGCCUGCAUGAAGUCGGAAUUGCUAGUAAUCGCGGAUCAGCAUGCCGCGGUGAAUACGUUCCCGGGCCUUGUACACACCGCCCGUCACACCAUGAGAGCCGGUAACACCCGAAGUCAGAAGCCUAACCGCAAGGAGGGCGCUGCCGAAGGUGGGAUUGGUAAUUGGGGUGAAGUCGUAACAAGGUAAC
rnacentral:rRNA from 1 species